AAAGGUUAAAAUCUUUUUGUUGAUCUCGUGGCUUCCAUUUUUAAUCAUUCCAGAGAAAUAUGGCUUGGCUUAGCUCACUAGGAAAGAUCUGAGAGACUUUUGGACAGAAGAUGCCAUAGGAAUGCCCAGCUUUCACCAGGGAAUACAAGUUAUGUCCUCUGCAGCACUACUUUAAACCAAGCCUCAACUUGGACGGACUAGAAGCUACUGAGUGCUAACAGCUGCUUAUUUGGGGAUCUUGAUCCUGGUCACCCUCUGGCACUGAGGAGACUCAGGUUGACAGUGUGAGAUCCUGCCAAAUGUCCCUCACAGCUGCAGUUUGAGUAAAACCUGACAGGGAAACAACAAUCUGCAGGCAUCAAUUGCAGGGCACUUGGAGAAAGCCAAGUAAACUCCAGUGUGUCCUUUGAACUUAUUCUGCAUUGACUGCACCAUGUCAGCUAAGUGUGUUAUAGCCUCAUGCCUCAAAUAAGAAGUCUCUUUCCAUCUGGGAAAAGAGGGUGAAAAAUUGGAUUCAAUGGCUUCAAUGGAAUUCAUACUACAAAGUGCUAACUCAUCUGCAGAGAAAACAAGAUUUCUGGAAGCCAUCUGCCAAACAUCACAGUUGAGUGUGGGAGGGAAAGAGCAAAUGAAAGUGAACUACAUGAAAUAUGGGGGGGGAAAGAGACUAAGAACUAUGGGGAUGUUGUGAAGUUGAACCAGUGUAGCCCAGCUUACUGCAGAGGAAGCAGGACUUGUGGAAGCUCCUUCCAUUGCACUGGAUUUCCUCAGCGUGGUACACGGUCUUUUCACAGGCACCACAUUUGGCUCCACCCCCCCAGUUUGGCAUCCCUGUCUCUGAGAGAAUGAAAUGAACAAUGUCUACGUGCCAGCUCUGCAGCCUGAAGGGAAUUCUUUCUGACAACUAAUACCAAAAAUCCUACAAUGGUAUAAGAAUCUGUCCAGCAAAAGGAAGGUGGCAUGAGAGUGUGUGCACACACUGAAGCCAUAGCACUGGAGACAUGGCAAUGUGAGCAGGUUUUACAGUCAGUGUUUGAUAACAGUGCAGGUACCAGCACAUCCAAACCUCUCUGCCUUAGCACAGCAAUGAUUAGUAUCUCUUUAACCCCGUGUAAUUAAAUAGUCACUAUUGUGACUGGUACCUGUGGUAGACAGCACACCUGUCAUCCUCAUGCAGGGUCCAAUCUCCCCUCCUCUUUGUGAGGCUGAGUUGUGCUCAGCUGAACACCCUCCCCAGCUCAGUCAGCCCAGUCCUUUGCUGUAACACAGCAGCACCAUCGUUAAUCUCUUCCAGACCCU